rnacentral:piRNA from 1 species
UUCAAAGAAGGGGCAGAGUGUGCUUGAAGG